GACAGAGGGUGCAAACGUUGUUCGGAAUUACUGGGCGUAAAGCGCGUGUAGGCGGCUUAGCAAGUCGGGCGUGAAAGCCCUCGGCUCAACCGAGGAAGUGCACCCGAAACUGCUGAGCUUGAGUGCCGGAGAGGAUGGCGGAAUACCCCAAGUAGAGGUGAAAUUCGUAGAUAUGGGGUGGAACACCGGUGGCGAAGGCGGCCAUCUGGACGGUAACUGACGCUGAGACGCGAAAGCGUGGGUAGCAAACAGG
rnacentral:rRNA from 1 species